AACGAACGCUGGCGGCAGGCUUAACACAUGCAAGUCGAGCGCCCCGCAAGGGGAGCGGCAGACGGGUGAGUAACGCGUGGGAAUCUACCCAUCUCUACGGAAUAACGCAUGGAAACGUGUGCUAAUACCGUAUACGUCCUUCGGGAGACAGAUUUAUCGGAGAUGGAUGAGCCCGCGUUGGAUAAGCUAGUUGGUGGGGUAAAGGCCUACCAAGGCGACGAUCCAUAGCUGGUCUGAGAGGAUGAUCAGCCACACUGGGACUGAGACACGGCCCAGACUCCUACGGGAGGCAGCAGUGGGGAAUAUUGGACAAUGGGCGCAAGCCUGAUCCAGCCAUGCCGCGUGAGUGAUGAAGGCCCUAGGGUUGUAAAGCUCUUUCACCGGUGAAGAUAAUGACGGUAACCGGAGAAGAAGCCCCGGCUAACUUCGUGCCAGCCGCCGCGGUAAUAC
rnacentral:rRNA from 1 species